GUUCGCAUAGAUCGAGGAAGCAAGGUUAUACUGAGGGGGAGAGCGUUAAUCGGAAGUAAGUGGCAGCAAGUGUGCGCAGGGUGCCGAGCAAGUCGAAUGGGAAAGCCCCGGGCUUAACUUGGGAAUUGCGCUCGAAACUAGUUGGCUGGAGUGUGGCAGAGGAAGGUGGAAUUCCACGUGUAGCGGUGAAAUGCGUAGAGAUGUGGAGGAACACCAAUGGCGAAGGCAGCCUUCUGGGCCAACACUGACGCUCAUGCACGAAAGCGUGGGGAGCAAACAGGAUUAGAUACCCCUGUAGUC
rnacentral:rRNA from 1 species